UGUCCUUUUGAUUUUAAUUUAAGGUCUGAUCUGCCCACUGAGGAAUUAAAUGGCCGCGGUAUUUUGACCGUGCAAAGGUAGCAUAAUCAUUAGUUUUUUAAUUGAAAGCUGGAAUGAAGGAUUUGAUGAGAAAAUAACUGUCUCAAUUUAAUUUAUUUAGAAUUUUAUUUUUAAGUUAAAAAGCUUAAAUAUUAUUAAAAGACGAGAAGACCCUAUAGAGUUUAAUAUUUAAAAUUUAUAAAAUUAAUUGUUUUUAAUAUUUUAUAUUUUAAUAAAUAUUUUAUUGGGGUGAUAAAAAAAUUAAAUAAACUUUUUUUAUAUAAUAAUACUAAUUAGUAGUUUUUUGAUCCAAAUUUUUUGAUUAUAAGAUAAAAUUACCUUAGGGAUAACAGCGUAAUUUUUUUUAAGAGUUCUUAUCGAAAAAAGAGAUUGCGACCUCGAUGUUGGAUUAAAGUUAAGUUUUGGUGUAGAAGCUAGAAUUUUAGGUCUGUUCGACCUUUAAAACUUU
rnacentral:rRNA from 1 species